rnacentral:rRNA from 1 species
GACGUAGGGGGCCAGCGUUGUUCGGAAUUACUGGGUGUAAAGGGUUCGUAGGCGGUGUGGCAAGUCGGGAGUGAAAUUUCUGGGCUCAACUCAGAGACUGCUUCCGAAACUGCUGUGCUGGAGUGUGGGAGAGGCGCGUGGAAUUGCAGGUGUAGCGGUGAAAUGCGUAGAUAUCUGGAGGAACACCGGUGGCGAAGGCGGCAUCCUGGACCAACACUGACGCUGAGACGCGAAAGCGUGGGGAGCGAACAGG